UGAUUUACGAGCAGCAGGCUAUUCAGGGCUGCAAACGGGUUACACUCGGUGGGGGAAAUCAAAGAUAUGGAAAGUGGUGGAAGUUCGCCAUUGCUUUAAAACUCACUUUAAAGAUGUUUUCUCAGACACUCAUGUUCUUAUUGCACACUAUGGAAUUGUUUUUAGUUUACUGCUUAGCUAAAUUGCUUAAACUUUCCGACGCAGAUAUUCCCCAAACCACCACGAUGACGACAAUGGCUCCAACGGUCUCGAUCAACACGGUGCCCGUGGUGCUCGUGAAGUACAACAAAGAACAACGAUAUGGCAGCAGCCAGAACAGCAAUACUAAUCCGUACAACUUCAAUCCCGGCAACAGUCAACAGAACACGAAGUUGCAACGCGGCAAGUCCAAUAGCAAGGGCUCGGAUCAGUCCCCCUCCGGACUGAACAACGUCUUCGUGGGAGCCACGUCCAGCCUGUGGAAUUCGCAGGAUCACCACUCCUCCUCCUCCUCCUCCUCCUCUGCGUCCUCAAGGGGAAGGGAUCACCAUCAGCAGCAGCACCACCAGCAGCAGCAACAAAACCAUGGUGAGUUGGAGUUUCGUUGGAGAAGGAGCCCUUCGUCGACACUGCGGGGAAUCGACUAUCUAAGCCACUCGGAGUCGGCAAUUGAUGGAAAAUCCUUCCCUGGGGACGCCGUAACACACCAUAAAUAUUUCGCCAUUUAUUUUAUGCUUAUGACAAAUCAUAACGACUUUAGCCGCUUGGCUUAAGGGUCUCUGGCAUGUCGUUGUCGCCACUUGUUAGAUAUAGAUACUUUUGGCUCGAGCUGCCAGCGAACUUUGGCAGCAUGCGGGAAUGGUUGACUGCCGAAUACCCUAUACUUUUGGGCUUGAUAUAUUAAAAAGGGAUGUUUGCUUUUGAAUAACUCACUUAAUAGUAUAGCAAAUAUACCGCUCCUUCAGUUGCGUAAGCGUAUAAAUAUUUGGCCAACUCGAAGG
ensembl:ncRNA lncRNA:CR44822 long non-coding RNA:CR44822